GCCUGCCCUACUUUUUGUGUUGCAACUUUUUUCCCGCUUAUCUUCGUUUCUUAUUUCCUGCAAGCAAAGUUUCAUGACAGUCGUUCCACUUAGGCUUAAAGCAACCUUGAGUUGAAUACAGAGGAAAGCUGCACUGCAAGUUUUGCAACCCACUGGAAUCUACACAAGGGAGAAGUCAAGGGGGCAAAAAUGAGCCCAAAAGUUUAGUGGCUUGGCAGCAAGAGGGUUUGUUGCGGCACUCUGUCACGGCUGAGGUAGACUACGCUACAAAGCACGCCUCUGCUAGCUAGGAGGCCAUGCACAGCAGGUGCAGCUACGUGCAACUGUCCUGUGUAGAUUGGCAGUACGAAGAUGAAAUGUUUUUUCGGUCUUA